rnacentral:tRNA from 1 species
AUUUAUAUAGUAUAUCCAUUAUAUUUGACUUCCAAUCAAAAGAUCUAAAAACAAUAGUAUAAAUA